rnacentral:miRNA from 1 species
AACCGAUGGUUGAACAUGUUAGAC